rnacentral:rRNA from 1 species
UACGGAGGGAGCUAGCGUUGUUCGGAAAUACUGGGCGUAAAGCGCACGUAGGCGGCGCAGCAAGUCAGGGGUGAAAUCCCGGGGCUCAACCCCGGAACUGCCCUUGAAACUGCAGUGCUAGAAUCUUGGAGAGUCGAGUGGAAUUCCGAGUGUAGAGGUGAAAUUCGUAGAUAUUCGGAAGAACACCAGUGGCGAAGGCGACUCGCUGGACAAGUAUUGACGCUGAGGUGCGAAAGCGUGGGGAGCAAACAGG